UUUCAGUAGNUGGACCUGCGGAGGAUCAUUAUUGAAAUAAACCUGAUGAGUUGCUGCUGGUUCUCUAGGGAGCAUGUGCACACUUGUCGUCUUUAUAUUUCCACCUUGUGCACCUUUUGUAGACCUGGAUAUCUCUCUGAAUGCACACAAGCAUUUGGGUUUGAGGGGUUGACUUUUUGGUCUCCCUUUAUAUUUCCAGGCCUAUGUUUCUUUCAUAUACCCCACUUGUGUUAUAGAAUGUAAUAAAUGGGCCUUUGUGCCUGUAAAGCUAUACAACUUUCAGCAACGGAUCUCUUGGCUCUCGCAUCGAUGAAGAACGCAGCGAAAUGCGAUAAGUAAUGUGAAUUGCAGAAUUCAGUGAAUCAUCGAAUCUUUGAACGCACCUUGCGCUCCUUGGUAUUCCGAGGAGCAUGCCUGUUUGAGUGUCAUUAAUAUAUCAACCUCCUCAACUUGUGUUGAGUGUUGGAUGUGGGGGUUCUUUCUUUGCUGGCUUCACGGUCAGCUCCCCUGAAAUGCAUUAGCGGAACAACCUGUUCACUGUUCAUUGGCGUGAUAACUAUCUACGCUGCUUGUUGACAGUGAAGCAAGUUCAGCUUCUAACAGUCCAUUAAAUUGGACAAAUUUUUAUUAAUGUGACCUCAAAUCAGGUAGGACUACCCGCUGAACUUAAUCAUAUCA
rnacentral:rRNA from 1 species